GUCCACGCUGUAAACGGUGAGUGCUCGUCGUCGUGGGUAUUGACCCCUGCGGUGACCAAGUUAACACAUGAAGCACUCCGCCUGGGAAGUACGGUCGCAAGACUAAAACUACAAAGAAAUUGACGGGGGCCCCGGCCACAAGCGGUGGAGCAUGUUGUUUAAUUCGAAGCAACGCGCAGAACCUUACCUGGAUUUGACAUCUCUGGAAUCUUCCUGAAAGGGAAGAGUGCCUUCGGGAGCCAGAAGACAGGUGCUGCAUGGCUGUCGU
rnacentral:rRNA from 1 species